CCUACGGUAGGCAGCAGUGGGGGAUAUUGCACAAUGGGGGAAACCCUGAUGCAGCGACGCCGCGUGUGGGAAGACGGUCCUCUGGAUUGUAAACCACUGUCCCCAGGGAAGAAGAUGACGGUACCUGGGGAGGAAGCUCCGGCUAACUACGUGCCAGCAGCCGCGGUAAUACGUAGGGAGCGAGCGUUGUCCGGAAUUACUGGGUGUAAAGGGAGCGUAGGCGGGACUGCAAGUUGGGUGUCAAAUCUACCGGCUCAACCGGUAGCCGCACUCAAAACUGCAGUUCUUGAGUGAAGUAGAGGCAGGCGGAAUUCCUAGUGUAGCGGUGAAAUGCGUAGAUAUUAGGAGGAACACCAGUGGCGAAGGCGGCCUGCUGGGCUUUUACUGACGCUGAGGCUCGAAAGUGUGGGGAGCAAACAGGAUUAGAUACCCGAGUAGUC
rnacentral:rRNA from 1 species